ensembl:lncRNA
AAUAUCUGAGCCCUGUGGGCAGGGUGCAGAGGGCUCUAGCAGCUCAGCAGUGUGUCCAGGCCGAGCGGGUAGAAUACUCAGAGUGGCAUGUCCAGUAUCACAGGGCUGGUAAGAAACAGACACAGGCUGCAAACCAGAAAUCCUCCAAAGCCCUCUCCCAUUCGCCAGGAGGCUGCGGAAUUCAGACAGAUAAUCACCUUCUCAGGCCUGGAGGCAAAGCCGGAGAACCAUUAGUGGAAAGCGGAGAGGGAGGAGACUGAGGCACAGAGAGGCAGAAUCCCCCCAAAAGAAAUUUCCUUCAGGAAGAUGUCACCAUGCCCAGCGCCCUUUGAACACAAGGAACUCAGCGGGAGAGGAGGUGACGUGCCAAUCACUAGGAUGUCAGCGUCCACUUGUCCAUCAGAGGCUCCUGCAUCCCAGUCACGCAAGUAUCCGUUCACGUAGUCAUUUGUUCUGCAUUUGCUCAAGCACGUCAAGCCGCCGGCUUCCUGGCCAAGUGUGGGAGAGACGAGGGGAGAGACCUGGGCUCCGUAAGUGGCACUAAGAGGACACAAGGCACAAGUGGGAGGAGAAUAGAAGACGGGGAUCUAAGGAAGGGAGCGUGGGCAGCAUUUAAUUAAAUUGUGAAUACGUUUCAAGCUUUCUUUUCUUUACAAUGAGGCUCUGCCUGAUUGAAUUUCAGAACCUUGGAGUUUCUGUUCAAAAUGCCUUCCGAAAUUAGCACUGGGCCUCUGCAGCAUCCCCUGAGGUGCCCCAGGGCACUGCACCUCCCCUCCUCGGGCACCUGCUCCUGGGGGCUCUCUCAUCCUGGAGGGGGUGGGAGUUACCAGACAGGGCUCUGACCCCAGCUCUUUCUGGAGGGAGCUAGGUGGCUCUGGAAAGUGGUCACUCCCUGGGUCUCCAUUUAUCCCCGGUGAAAUUAGCAGGAAAGUGGAGCUGGGAUUUGGGGGGAAAGCCUGAAUAUCCUUUGACGGCUCUGAAAGGGAGGGCAUUGUUGUGACAAGGCCAGGCCUGUGAGCCUCUGAGCCCAUAACCACUGCUCCUCGUCCGUUUGACUCUCCCAGUGCUUUCUCAUCUAUUCUGUGAAAUCUUACUUCUUCCCUUCAAGACCAUUCUGGUCUGGAGCUCCUGUUGCGGCACAGCGGGUUAAGAACCGACUAGUAUCCAUGAUGAUCCCGGUUUGAAACCUGCUCUCGCUCAGUGGGUUGGGAUUCCGGCGUUGCUGUGGCCGUGGUAUAGGUCACAGAUGCGGCUGUGUUCGACCCUUAGCCCGGGAACUUCCACAUGCUGUAGGUGUGGCCCUAAAAAGAAAGAAAAAAAAUGACCUUUCUGUUCUAAGAAAAGUGAAGUUUUAGAGGAGGUUUGAGGCUUCCCAGAAGCCUCAGAAUAAGUCAGUGUAGAAACUAGAAAUCAGACCCAGGACCCUGGGCCAGGGAUCCAAUCAUUCCUUGCUUCCUUCUUUCCAUACCUUCUGGGUACCAGGUGCACAGCAAUAAACUGGGCCUGGUGCCUGCUGGCA